rnacentral:rRNA from 1 species
UUGACAUCCAGAGAAUUUAGCAGAGAUGCUUUAGUGCCUUCGGGAACUCUGAGACAGGUGCUGCAUGGCUGUCGUCAGCUCGUGUUGUGAAAUGUUGGGUUAAGUCCGCAACGAGCGCAACCCUUAUCCUUUGUUGCCAGCACGUAAUGGUGGGAACUCAAAGGAGACUGCCGGUGAUAAACCGGAGGAAGGUGGGGAUGACGUCAAGUCAUCAUGGCCCUUACGAGUAGGGCUACACACGUGCUACAAUGGCGUAUACAAAGAGAAGCGACCUCGCGAGAGCAAGCGGACCUCAUAAGGUGCGUCGUAGUCCGGAUUGGAGUCUGCAACUCGACUCCAUGAAGUCGGAAUCGCUAGUAAUCGUAAAUCAGAAUGUUACGGUGAAUACGUUCCCGGGCCUUGUACACACCGCCCGUCACACCAUGGGAGUGGGUUGCAAAAGAAGUAGAUAGCUUAACCUUCGGGAGGGCGUUUACCACUUUGUGAUUCAUGACUGGGGUGAAGUCGUAACAAGGUAAGCGUAGUGCU